UGCAGUCGAACGAUGAAGCCCCUUCGGGGGUGGAUUAGUGGCGAACGGGUGAGUAACACGUGGGCAAUCUGCCCUGCACUCUGGGACAAGCCCUGGAAACGGGGUCUAAUACCGGAUACGACACAGGGAGGCAUCUCCUCUGUGUGGAAAGCUCCGGCGGUGCAGGAUGAGCCCGCGGCCUAUCAGCUUGUUGGUGAGGUAACGGCUCACCAAGGCGACGACGGGUAGCCGGCCUGAGAGGGCGACCGGCCACACUGGGACUGAGACACGGCCCAGACUCCUACGGGAGGCAGCAGUGGGGAAUAUUGCACAAUGGGCGCAAGCCUGAUGCAGCGACGCCGCGUGAGGGAUGACGGCCUUCGGGUUGUAAACCUCUUUCAGCAGGGAAGAAGCGCAAGUGACGGUACCUGCAGAAGAAGCGCCGGCUAACUACGUGCCAGCAGCCGCGGUAAUACGUAGGGCGCAAGCGUUGUCCGGAAUUAUUGGGCGUAAAGAGCUCGUAGGCGGCUUGUCGCGUCGGUUGUGAAAGCCCGGGGCUUAACUCCGGGUCUGCAGUCGAUACGGGCAGGCUAGAGUUCGGUAGGGGAGAUCGGAAUUCCUGGUGUAGCGGUGAAAUGCGCAGAUAUCAGGAGGAACACCGGUGGCGAAGGCGGAUCUCUGGGCCGAUACUGACGCUGAGGAGCGAAAGCGUGGGGAGCGAACAGGAUUAGA
rnacentral:rRNA from 2 species